AAUCAACGCUGGCGGCGUGCCUAACACAUGCAAGUCGAACGCGAAAGUCCCGCAAGGGAUCAGUAGAGUGGCAAACGGGUGAGUAACACGUGGGUGACCUGCCUUCGAGCGGGGGAUAACGUCCCGAAAGGGACGCUAAUACCGCAUAACAUCCUGCCUUUGAAGAGGUGGAGAUCAAAGCUGGGGAUCGCAAGACCCGGCACUUGAAGAGGGGCCCGCGCCUGAUUAGCUAGUUGGUGAGGUAACGGCUCACCAAGGCAACGAUCAGUAUCCGGCCUGAGAGGGCGGACGGGACACACCGG
rnacentral:rRNA from 1 species